rnacentral:rRNA from 1 species
UACGAAAGGUGCAAGCGUUAAUCGGAAUUACUGGGCGUAAAGCGCGCGUAGGCGGUGUGUUAAGUCGGAUGUGAAAGCCCAGGGCUCAACCUUGGAACUGCAUCCGAUACUGGCACGCUAGAGUGCAGUAGAGGGAGGUGGAAUUUCCGGUGUAGCGGUGAAAUUCGUAGAUAUUGGGAAGAACACCGGUGGCGAAGGCGGCGACCUGGUCCAUUACUGACGCUGAGGCGCGAAAGCGUGGGGAGCAAACAGG